UAUGUUUUCUAUGUUGUCCCAGUGCACUUUCCACGUAACGUUCCUCAGCCCGGUUUACAUUGUGUUAACCUUGAAUAGCUUCCUGUGUUCUUCUAGAAUUCAGUAAACAUUCUUUCAGUUUCUCUUCAUAGUUGAGGAAGGAAAAAAGGUUCCUUCUGUAAUGAUGUCUAAUGUUGCUUCUCUAUUAUGUUUUCUGCUACACACUUGACACAAAUGACCGCUAUCUCCCACCACAGCUUCUGCUUCUUCAAGCUGGAUGUCGAAGAUGAAGACCGCAGGUGUGUGUCUUUUCACACCUGUGUCCUCACGCCUGACACCGUGCCUGGCUCAGUUUCGCAAGAGUGAAAACCAGGGAAAAGCCUGAAAAAAGAACCUGUAGGACAAAUAGGACCGGGGAGUGCCCUUCGUCAAUGGGACAGAUGGAGCCAGCCAGACGCCCUGAGAAGGGAGCAACUUUGAAUGAUGGUGGCAGCAGGUGGCCUAAGAGGAAGUGAGAAAAACAUUCAAUAAGGAACUCCUGAGAAAAAAAAUUCUUGGACUCCGAAGUCCAGCGUCAUUCCCGCCCACCCUGGUGUAUAAACCCCAGGAUGAGGAUGAGCAGCUCAUAGCGAAGGAGCCCCAUUCAGGCAAGCGUUGCUGUGCUCCUUACUAUACCUCCCUCCUCCAAAAUGGAGCUAAUUUUAAAAUCAAAAGACAACCUGUAGGGGCGCCUGGGUGGUGCAGUCGUUAAGCGUCUGCCUUCGGCUCAGG